UAGAUCAAUGAUGAGAGUGUCAUGAAUCAAGAACAAUGAUUAAUAAAAUCUGUGAAUCUGAAAUUUAC
ensembl:snoRNA